rnacentral:lncRNA from 1 species
AAAGAAACCACCUCAUUUUCUGUUAUAUAUUGCUGGCAAAUUGCCAGCAAACUCUCAAAAGUUAUGAGAUGAGUCGAGUCUUUCAUGGAUGUUGAAGUACUAAGCUCCAGUACCUACAAAUGUGAUGGUAUCUGGAAACAGUCUUUGUAGUGGACAUGAGGGCAUUAGGUUGGGCCCUAUCCCAUAUGACUGGAGUCCUUAUAAAAGGGGACACUUUGGACACAGAGACAGAUAUGGGUAGUGGGAACAUGAUAUGAAGACACACACACAGACUGCCAUUACAGGAAGGAGUAAUACACUAGGAGCCAAGGAGCUCCAAGGAUUGCCAGCCACCACCAGAAGAUAGGAGGUGGCUGGGAACAGAUUCUCCCUACAGCUCUCUGAAGGAACCAACCCUGCCAAGACCUCCAUCUCAGACUUGCAGCUUCCAGAACUGUGAGACAAUCUAUUUCUGUUGCUUAAGCCACCAGGUUUGUGCUACUUCAUGAUGGCAGUCAUAGCAGACUAACCUCGGCCCCCAACCAGAGCAGGGUCUUGCCUUGGACAAGCUCCUGACACCCCUGGAAAAACAGCAUUGGCAUAGCAUGUGCCAAGAUCAUAGGACGAGGAUGGGACCAGGGCAAUGUCACUUUUGUUUUUCAAGUCUCCUUCCUACAGAGGGAGGGAGGAAAUGCCUCUGUGGGCCUUGGUGGCCACAGUUCAGCAAUCCAGAUGCUGCCCUCCCGGACUCUGCCCCAGCUCAAAGCACUGGCUGAUCCCUAUAAAGGGCCGCCCCUAGCGAGUACGUGUGACCUGG